rnacentral:rRNA from 1 species
UUUUCCGGUUGAUCCUGCCGGACCUGACUGCUAUCGGAUUGAUACUAAGCCAUGCGAGUCAUUGUAGCAAUACAAGGCAGACGGCUCAGUAACGCGUAGUCAAUCUACCCUAUGGACGGGAAUAACCUCGGGAAACUGAGAAUAAUGCCCGAUAGAACAUUAUGCCUGGAAUGGUUUAUGUUUCAAAUGAUUUAUCGCCAUAGGAUGGGACUGCGGCCUAUCAGUUUGUUGGUGAGGUAAUGGCCCACCAAGACUAUUACAGGUACGGGCUCUGAGAGGAGUAGCCCGGAGAUGGGUACUGAGACACGGACCCAGGCCCUAUGGGGCGCAGCAGGCGAGAAAACUUUGCAAUGUGCGAAAGCACGACAAGGUUAAUCCGAGUGGUUUCUGCUAAAGAAACCUUUUGUCAGUCCUAGAAACACUAACGAAUAAGGGGUGGGCAAGUUCUGGUGUCAGCCGCCGCGGUAAAACCAGCACCUCAAGUGGUCAGGAUGAUUAUUGGGCCUAAAGCAUCCGUAGCUCGUUUUGUAAGUUUUCGGUUAAAUCCAUGCGCUUAACGUAUGGGCUGCCGGGAAUACUGCAUAACUAGGAAGUGGGAGAGGUAGACGGUACUCGGUAGGAAGGGGUAAAAUCCUUUGAUCUAUUGAUGACCACCUGUGGCGAANGCGGUCUACCAGAACACGUUCGACGGUGAGGGAUGAAAGCUGGGGGAGCAAACCGGAUUAGAUACCCGGGUAGUCCCAGCUGUAAACUAUGCAAACUCAGUGAUGCAUUGGCUUAUGGCCAAUGCAGUGCUGCAGGGAAGCCGUUAAGUUUGCCGCCUGGGAAGUACGUACGCAAGUAUGAAACUUAAAGGAAUUGGCGGGGGAGCAC